UACGUAGGGUGCGAGCGUUGUCCGGAAUCACUGGGCGUAAAGGGCUCGUAGGCGGCCAACUAAGUCAUACGUGAAAUCCCUCGGCUUAACCGGGGAACUGCGUCUGAUACUGGAUGGCUUGAGUUCGGGAGAGGGAUGCGGAAUUCCAGGUGUAGCGGUGAAAUGCGUAGAUAUCUGGAGGAACACCGGUGGCGAAGGCGGCAUCCUGGACCGAUACUGACGCUGAGGAGCGAAAGCCAGGGGAGCAAACGGG
rnacentral:rRNA from 1 species